AUGAACCCUAGCCCCCAAUGGAUGGGACGCCACACCCUCACUCCUCCCCAGCAGCCUCCAAACCCCCCGCCUCCACCGGAUCCAAGGCGUGCGGCCACGGAGGCGAGCCUCUCCGGCGACGGUGGCAACCUGCAGGCAGAGAAGAUGGGAGAGAGGGAGAGAAGGAAUGAGAGGAGGGAGGUCCGACGGCGGACAGGAGAGGGUCAGCGGCCUGUGCCGGCGAGGUCAGGUGUGACCUGGCAGACCUGGCAAUUGAUGGCGGCCACUCCUGGAUCCUUCUUCCACUUCCCCACUGCCUACCACCAAGCACGGGUCAGGGAGCAUGGGAUUGACGACGGCGGUCGAAAGCCAGGAUGGUUGGCUGAGGAAGAGGGUGAGGACUUGAGGAUUGAAGAGGGUUGCUAUGGAGACUGUUCUUUGCAAGGGUAA
rnacentral:rRNA from 1 species